rnacentral:rRNA from 3 species
UGAAGACGACGACGUUGAUAGGCCGGGUGUGUAAGCGCAGCGAUGCGUUGAGCUAACCGGUACUAAUGAACCGUGAGGCUUAACCUUACAACGCCGAAGGUGUUU